rnacentral:lncRNA from 1 species
AUUGGCCGCAAGCGUUGGCGAUUCUGAGAGCGGAAGUGAUGUUGCUGCCCAAACUCUCGAGAAGUCCGGGAGUGUAAAAGAGGUUGCAGAGACACGGAAGCUGGGUGGCCACCGUCUGCUUGAUGGCAGUGCAGCACGUGGCAGAUGGUUGAGCUGUGCUGUUGAGGUAGUCCGCGCACGGCAGAAGGUCCUGAGCACAAGCCGGCGUCGUUUGACCGGCCGCCGAUCCGAAUAAACUUAAUAACACAACCAUCGUGGCCACCGCCAACAUGGAAAUGCUGUAGCAGCCCAUCUCUCUCUCUUCUCUUUUUCUCUCUAAUAAAAUGGGAGGUGGAG